rnacentral:rRNA from 1 species
AAACUAACAAGGAUUCCCCUAGUAACGGCGAGUGAAGAGGGAAGAGCCCAAGAUUGAAAGCUGGCGUCUUCGGCGUCCGCAUUGUAAUCUCAAGAAGUGUUUUCCGCUUCGGACCAUGCCUAAGUCCCUUGGAAAAGGGCAUCAUAGAGGGUGAUAAUCCCGUACAUGGCAUGGAGCGCCCGAAGCUUUGUGAUACGCUUUCUAAGAGUCGAGUUGUUUGGGAAUGCAGCUCAAAAUGGGUGGUAAAUGCCAUCUAAGGCUAAAUAUUGGGGAGAGACCGAUAGCGAACAAGUACAGUGAUGGAAAGAUGAAAAGAACUUUGAAAAGAGAGUUAAACAGUACGUGAAAUUGCCAAAAGGGAAGGGUAGGAGGUCAGAGAUGCGGCCUGGGAUUCAGCCUUGCUUUUGCUUGGUGUUUUUCCCAGAUUGCAGGCCAACGUCGGUUUUGGGCACUGGAGAAGGGUAGGAGGAACGUGGCACCUCUCGGGGUGUGUUAUAGCCUCCUACUGGAUACAGCGACCGAGACCGAGGACAGCAGCGUACUCGCAAGAGCGGGCCUUCGGGCACCUUUACGCUUAGGGCGUUGGCAUAAUGGCCCUCUACCACCCGUCUUGAACCACCGGAC